GAAUUCAAAUCUCGCGAUUUUUCAUUUCGCGUGACUUGCUACGCGAGAGUUUGUCUCAGCCGCCAUUUUUCAAAGAGAGAAAGUUUUGUCCGCAGAAAAGAGAAGGGUUUGCAGGUCCAAUAUUAGUUGAAUAGUUCCUGUUAAUGGCGUGAAAUACCAAGCAGAGAGAUUCGGGAAGAAGACAUUUAUAUGGAAAUAAUCAAGAGCAACAACAAGAACAUUAAAAGUUUUGAAAAAAUCGACUCUGAGUGAAGACCAGGCCAUGUAUACAGCUGGUGGACAUACAGUAAUUGUCGAUGAUUCGCGGGUGUAGGGCUCUAGUUGUGUUUUAAGAAGUCUGUGCCACCAUGAGGGGUGUGUGUACCAUCUGCACCGAUCUCUUCACCGAGGACAAACCCAUCUCAGCUACACCUUGUGGGCAUACCUUCCAUGAAACUUGGU